CGGGCCCGGCCGGCUGUGGGCUUCCCGCCGGUGGGGGCUGCCGGUCCGCGGCCUGGCGGUCUCCGCCCUGUCCCGCAGACGCCGGAGCUGUCGUGCUGCUUGGAGGAGCCGAGGCCGAGCGCCGAUAAGCAAGUUCAAAGAAUGUGGUCAAAACCGGAAAGAGAUGAGCAAACUGUUCACAAGUUGAUUGAAAUUCAAGAACAAAUGAAGGCAGAACUUGAAAAUUAAAGACCUGUACAAAUUUAGGAGCAAUGCUGAGCAGUUAACACAACUGCCUUUCUUACAACUCAGGGCAAGCCAAGGAGCUGCUGUCACUUGCUCACGUCGUUGAUAGUCCCAGCUUACAUCCAACAAAGUUUUUGAAGAAACACUUAACAGAAGAAGAAAGAAGACACUGAGGAAAAAGUGCAAAGUGUCCUGGGUGUGACACAGAAAAAAAAUUUACCUAAGUCAUCCCAUCUUUCCAAAGAAUUACUCUUAAUUUCAAGUUUAUUUCAAAUCCAUCUGGCCUGAUCACAAGUUUUAAAGAAAAAUAUUUCCCUCCAACUGCACCAUUCUGUUGGAUGUAGUGCAUCAAGUCCCGUGUGAACCUGAUGCAUCAAGUACUAAAAUAAAUGGGAAGACCAAAAUUACUUCAAUGAGAAAUGGGUGGGAUUCUGAAGUUGUGAACACCACCAGCUGCCUGAAUGACCCUCUCUUGUCAUGGAUACUGCUGCCAGUGGGAUGAACAAGACACAAGAAGUACCACCAAAAUGGAUGGUUCUUGAAGAAUAAAAUAUGCUGUCUCCCACCCCUUCCCAGUUUUGUGUAUUGACAUACUUAGCUUUAAUUGCAAGACACACUGGAAAAAUGCUUUACUUUUCCUCUCACAUGGGAUUACUGUCACGGGCUUUCUGUGAAGAUUUUUUGGAUAUUCAUCUGUCAC